rnacentral:rRNA from 1 species
UAUACAUGCAAGUCGAGCGAACUGAUUAGAAGCUUGCUUCUAUGACGUUAGCGGCGGACGGGUGAGUAACACGUGGGCAACCUGCCUGUAAGACUGGGAUAACUUCGGGAAACCGAAGCUAAUACCGGAUAGGAUCUUCUCCUUCAUGGGAGAUGAUUGAAAGAUGGUUUCGGCUAUCACUUACAGAUGGGCCCGCGGUGCAUUAGCUAGUUGGUGAGGUAACGGCUCACCAAGGCCACGAUGCAUAGCCGACCUGAGAGGGUGAUCGGCCACACUGGGACUGAGACACGGCCCAGACUCCUACGGGAGGCAGCAGUAGGGAAUCUUCCGCAAUGGACGAAAGUCUGACGGAGCAACGCCGCGUGAGUGAUGAAGGCUUUCGGGUCGUAAAACUCUGUUGUUAGGGAAGAACAAGUACAAGAGUAACUGCUUGUACCUUGACGGUACCUAACCAGAAAGCCACGGCUAACUACGUGCCAGCAGCCGCGGUAAUACGUAGGUGGCAAGCGUUAUCCGGAAUUAUUGGGCGUAAAGCGCGCGCAGGCGGUUUCUUAAGUCUGAUGUGAAAGCCCACGGCUCAACCGUGGAGGGUCAUUGGAAACUGGGGAACUUGAGUGCAGAAGAGAAAAGCGGAAUUCCACGUGUAGCGGUGAAAUGCGUAGAGAUGUGGAGGAACACCAGUGGCGAAGGCGGCUUUUUGGUCUGUAACUGACGCUGAGGCGCGAAAGCGUGGGGAGCAAACAGGAUUAGAUACCCCUGGUAGUCCACGCCGUAAACGAUGAGUGCUAAGUGUUAGAGGGUUUCCGCCCUUUAGUGCUGCAGCUAACGCAUUAAGCACUCCGCC